rnacentral:rRNA from 1 species
ACUAAUACUAGCCCAACUUUUAUCCCCUCCAAAUACCAUUCACCUAAUAAAUAAAACAUUCAUCUAAAUAAAGUAUAGGAGAUAGAAAUUUAUAUUAGGAGCUAUAGAAAAAGUACCGUAAGGGAAAGAUGAAAGAAUAAAUUUAUAGUACAAAAAAGCAAAGAUUAACCCUUUUACCUUUUGCAUAAUGAUUUAACCAGAAAAUGUUUGACAAAAAGAAUUUAAGCCAAAUACCCCGAAACCAGACGAGCUACUUAUGAGCAGCCGAUAAGAGCCCAUCCAUCUAUGUUGCAAAAUAGUGGAAUGACUCAUAAGUAGAGGUGAAAAGCCUACCGAGCCUGGUGAUAGCUGGUUGUCCAGACUAGAAUUUUAGUUCUACUUUAAAUUUACCUCAAGCACUUAUAAGCCAAAUGUAAAUUUAAAUGCUAUUCUAAAGAGGGACAGCUCUUUAGAGUCAAGAAAUAAACCUUAUUUAGAGAGUAAAUUUAUUAAUUUCCAUAGUUGGCCUAAAAGCAGCCAUCAAUUAAAAAAGCGUUAAAGCUUAACCCAAUCACCAAAACUUAAUACCUGACUACUUCCAUGACCUCCCAAAUCAACACUGGACUAAUCUAUUUCAUAAUAGAAGAAAUUAUGUUAAAAUAAGUAACAAGAAAGUAUUCUCCCUGCAUAAGCUUAUAUCAGAUCGAAUGAUUCACUGAUAGUUAACAGCUUCAUAAUAUUAAACAAACAGAACAACCAUUAUUACUUAUACUGUUAACCCAACACUGGUAUGCAUAAAGGGAAAGAUUAAAUAAAGUAAAAGGAACUCGGCAAACACUAACCCCGCCUGUUUACCAAAAACAUCACCUCUAGCAUUAAUAGUAUUAGAGGCACUGCCUGCCCAGUGACACACGUUUAACGGCCGCGGUAUCCUGACCGUGCAAAGGUAGCAUAAUCACUUGUUCUUUAAAUAAGGACUAGUAUGAAUGGCUUGACGAGGGUUUAACUGUCUCUUACUUUUAAUCAGUGAAAUUGACCUUCCCGUGAAGAGGCGGGAAUUUUAUAAUAAGACGAGAAGACCCUAUGGAGCUUUAAUUUAACAGUCUCACAGCCUUAAUUAUAUCUUAGGAGUUAAAACUAUUGUUCAUAGACUAGAAAUUUUGGUUGGGGUGACCUCGGAGUACAAACUAACCUCCGAAUGAUAAUAAUCUAGACAUUACAUGUCCAAAUUACAACUCAUUAAUUGACCCAAAUUAUUGAUCAACGGAACAAGUUACCCUAGGGAUAACAGCGCAAUCCUACUCAAGAGUCCAUAUCGACAGUUAGGGUUUACGACCUCGAUGUUGGAUCAGGACAUCCAAAUGGUGUAACCGCUAUUAAUGGUUCGUUUGUUCAACGAUUAAAGUCCUACGUGAUCUGAGUUCAGACCGGAGAAAUCCAGGUCGGUUUCUAUCUAUUACUACAUUUCUCCCAGUACGAAAGGACAAGAGAAAUAAGGCCAAUUAUACACUCAUGCCUUAAGUUAAUGGAUGAUAUAAUCUUAAUCCAGUAAAAUAUUUUAAACAAUCUGCCCUAGAAUAGGGCUU